rnacentral:rRNA from 1 species
AACGGCGGCCGUAACUAUAACGGUCCUAAGGUAGCGAAAUUCCUUGUCAGGUAAGUUCUGACCCGCACGAAAGGUGUAACGAUUUGGGCGCUGUCUCGGCAGCAGACUCGGUGAAAUCUUAGUACCUGUGAAAAUGCAGGUUACCCGCAACUAGACGGAAAGACCCCAUGGAGCUUUACUGCAGCCUGAUAUUGAAUUCUGGUCAUACAUGUACAGGAUAGGUGGGAGACAAAGAGACGUGCACGCCAGUGUACGAGGAGUCGCCGUUGGGAUACCACUCUUGUGUGACCGGGGUUCUAACCUGGUAUCGAAAACAGGUACGGGGAGAGUGUCAGGUGGGCAGUUUGACUGGGGCGGUCGCCUCCCAAAGAGUAACGGAGGCGCCCAAAGGUACGCUCAGAUUGGAUGGAAACCAAUCGGCGAGUGCAAUUGCAGAAGCGUGCUUGACUGUGAGACUUACAAGUCGAACAGGGACGAAAGUCGGGAAUAGUGAUCCGGCGGUGCCGAAUGGAAGGGCCGUCGCUCAACGGAUAAAAGCUACCCUGGGGAUAACAGGCUGAUCUCGCCCAAGAGUUCACAUCGACGGCGAGGUUUGGCACCUCGAUGUCGGCUCAUCGCAUCCUGGAGCUGGAUUCGGUUCCAAGGGUUGGGCUGUCCGCCCAUUAAAGCGGUACGCGAGCUGGGUUCAGAACGUCGUGAGACAGUUCGGUCCCUAUCUGUUGUGGGCGAAGGAGAUCUGCGGAGAGCUGUCCUCAGUACGAGAGGACCGGGAUGGACCUACCGCUGGUGCACCGGUUGUUCCGCCAGGGGCAUAGCCGGGUAGCUAAGUAGGGAAAGGAUAAGCGCUGAAAGCAUCUAAGCACGAAGCCUACUCCAAGAUGAGAUCUCCCAUUCGCAAGAAGUAAGACCCCUUAAAGACGAUAAGGUAGAUAGGCCAGGGAUGGAAGUGCAGUGAUGUACGGAGUUGACUGGUACUAAUCGGUCGAGGACUUAAUCAG